AUGCCCUCGGAUAGGGCGCCGGGACCGGAUGUGUUCUCGGGGUUAUUCUUCAAGGUGUGUUGGGAAAUUAUAGCACCUGAUCUCAUGGCAGCUAUGACGGCUCUGUAUGAUGGUUGUUUCUACUCAUUUGGUGAUCUCAAUUCCUCCAUUAUCACUCUGCUGCCAAAGAAGUUAGAUUCUCUGGAGGUUAGCGAGUUCAGGCCCAUUAAUCUCAUUCAUGGGGUGGCAAAGAUUUUUGCCAAAAUGCUAGCAGUUCGUGUUGCCCCCCUCCUGCCUACUUUAAUAUCACAAGCCCAGACCACUUUUGUAUGCAAACACAAUAUGCACGAGAACUUCAAAUUUGUGUGCAAUGCGGCCAGAUGGCUACAUAAAAAACGGAAGCAAGCAGUGCUUUUGAAAAUUGACAUUUCCAAAGCUUUUGAUACACCGUCUUGGGAAUUCCUUCUAGAAGUGCUGACGAAGAGAGGGUUCGACAGAAGGUGGUGUUCUUGGAUUUGUGGACUGCUAUCUACUGCCUCCUCCUCUGUUUGUAUUAAUGGUGAAUUAGGCCAACCAUUUGCUCUGGGUAAAGGAGUCAGGCAAGGCGAUUCGCUAUCGCCUACUUUGUUCAUCCUUGCCAUGGAUACUCUACACAGCAUGCUGCAGUGGGCGGUACAACAUAAGUUACUCUCAGAUUUUGGAUGCAAUUCCAAGAUGCCGAGGGCUUCCAUCUUUGCAGAUGAUGCUAUCUUGCUUUUCCGACCGGUGCAUGCCGACCUACAGACCAAAUCUGGUAUCUGA
rnacentral:rRNA from 1 species